GACGAACGCUGGCGGCGUGCUUAACACAUGCAAGUCGAACGGAAAGGCCCUGCUAUUGUGGGGUGCUCGAGUGGCGAACGGGUGAGUAACACGUGAGUAACCUGACCUUGACUUUGGGAUAACUUCAGGAAACUGAGGCUAAUACCGGAUCGGCGCUCCUGCUGCGUGGUGGGGGUUGGAAAGUUUCGGCGGUUGGGGAUGGACUCGCGGCUUAUCAGAUUGUUGGUGGGGUAGUGGCUUACCAAGGCCUUGACGGGUAGCCGGCCUGAGAGGGUGACCGGCCACAUGGGGACUGAGAUACGGGCCAGACUACUACGGGAGGCAGCAGUGGGGAAUAUUGCACGAUGGGCGGAAGCCUGAUGCAGCAACGCCGCGUGCGGGAUGGCGGCCUUCUGGUUGUAAACCGCUUUCGCCUGUGACGAAGCGUGAGUGACGGUAAUGGGUAAAGAAGCACCGGCUAACUACGUG
rnacentral:rRNA from 1 species